rnacentral:rRNA from 1 species
GACGAACGCUGGCGGCGUGCUUAACACAUGCAAGUCGAACGGAAAGGCCCUGCUUUUGUGGGGUGCUCGAGUGGCGAACGGGUGAGUAACACGUGAGUAACCUGCCCUUGUCUUUGGGAUAACUUCAGGAAACUGGGGCUCAUAUCGGAUAGGAGCUCCUGCUGCAUGGUGGGGGUUGGAAAGUUUCGGCGGUUGGGGAUGGACUCGCGGCUUAUCAGCUUGUUGGUGGGGUAGUGGCUUACCAAGGCUUUGACGGGUAGCCGGCCUGAGAGGGUGACCGGCCACAUUGGGACUGAGAGACGGCCCAGACUCCUACGUGAGGCAGCAGUGGGGAAUAUUGCACAAUGAGCGGAAGCCUGAUGCAGCAACGCCGCGUGCGGGAUGACGGCCUUCGGGUUGUAAACCGCUUUCGCCUGUGACGAAGCGUGAGUGACGGUAAUGAGUAAAGAAGCACCGGCUAACUACGUG